UAUCACCUUGUCUGAAUCGAUCCUUGACCGGCUCGCCCUUCUCCAUAUCCAAUUAUCAACAGAAACUUGGUAGCAGAGGAUGGUUGUCUAGAGACCCGGUCCAGAGUGGUUGAUUUGGGUGGGAGAGGGCGAGUUGGUGAAAGGACGGUUCACGGAGGACAGGUGAAAUCUUUUGGGGGGGAGGACGACAGUUCUGCUCAACUCGGGAAACUGAUCUUCUGGUCGACCAUAAACAAGGUAAGCAAGACCUGUUAAAUCAAACUUUGCAUAUUGUCGUAUAGUUCUUCCAAAUUUCGAUCAGUGGUACCGAGUCUGGGUAAGAAUUCUUGUUUAAAUUUAUGAGCAUAGAUGACAUGUGAACGACAGUGAAGUGAACAUAUGUGGGAAUAAUUUGUAAGUCUUAAGCGCUAUUAUAUAGUCCGGCUUGUGACCGGUGAGGAAUAGGCUUAAUUUGUGUUAAAAGCGCUAUUAUAUAGUCCGGCUUGUGACCGGUGAGGAAUAGGCUUAAUGUGAUAAAAAGAUCUAUUCGUAUAGUCCGGCUUGUGACCGGUGAGGAAUAUAGUAAGCACUAUUCAAUAGUCCGGCUAUUCAGUCGGUGAAGGGUAGGCUUAAAAUUGGGAUAGGCACUAUUCAAUAGUCCGGCUAUUCAGCCGGUGAAGGAUAGGCUUGUUCCAUCCCCAUUCAUAUAGUCCGGCUGUGACCGGUGACGAGUGGGGUAAAGUUUGUCAAGACCUAUUAGUAUGGUCCGGCUUGUGUCCGGUGAGGAGUAGGCUAGACUUAUUCAAUAGUCCGGGCGAUUGUCCGGUGAAGAAUAGUCUAUUUGUGUUUGUAGGCGCCAGGUUGAAAAAUGUUCAAUGUUUAAGUGUAAUGUUUCCAAUGUCUAAAGUCUAAGUGUUCAACGUCUAAAGGGUAAUGUUCAUAGUGGGAAAAAUUUAAAUGUUUAAUGUA